UCCGCCAUGGUGUAGUGGCUAGCAUCGGCCGCUCUCAUACAGAGUUCCUCAAAGUAGGUCCGGCCAGACCCGGGUUCAAUUCCCGGUGGCGGAA